GACGAACGCUGGCGGCGUGCUUCAUACAUGCAAGUCGAACGUGAAGCUGACUUCGGUCAGUGGAAAGUGGCGGACGGGUGAGUAACACGUAGGAAAUCUGCCCUUAGGAAGGGGACAACAGUUGGAAACGACUGCUAAUACCGCAUAAGCCCACAGCUCCGCAUGGAGCAGGGGGAAAAGGAGUGAUCCGCUUUGAGAUGGCCUCGCGUCCGAUUAGCUAGUUGGUGAGGUAACGGCCCACCAAGGCGACGAUCGGUAGCCGGACUGAGAGGUUGAUCGGCCACAUUGGGACUGAGACACGGCCCAG
rnacentral:rRNA from 1 species